rnacentral:tRNA from 1 species
GCUUCUGUAGCUCAACUGGUAGAGCAGCCGCUUUGUAAGCGGCCGGUUGUGGGUUCAAGUCCUAUCUGAAGCU